GAAACAUUAGAUUUGUUCAACUGUGUGGCUAUGUUAUUGUUGGACAUGUACCGAAAGCGCAACAAUAGGACUCGAACGAUUAUCACCUUAGCAACAGUAAGUAGUCAGACACAGCAUUCCAAAUCAUUCAUUAUUUUCCAAUUCUAAACCAUUUGCAAUAUGCAAAAAUUAUUCAGCGCGUUUCUAUGAGCAAUCCAAUGGCAUAUUUUAUGCUAGCUAAACGAAGAGGAUUCCACUUCAGGCAGCUGAUCUUAAUCAUCGAGUUGUACAGCCACUAUGACGUGUAUAACUACCUCAGACAAAUAGCACUGACCCUCUGCUCAGACAAAGUGUCGGAGGUCCGGUGGAUCUCUUACAAGCUGGUGGUGGAGAUCUUACAGAAGAUGUAUGCGUC